CUCUGCACAGGUUUUGAUACAUCUCCCCCCAUAACUCUAUGGAAACCUGGUAAUUGGUUCUGAAGCCACCAAAAUGUCACCCAAAAAUAGGAAAAGGUAGGCUUUAAGGAAUACUGAUUUAUAGGAUGCGGCAUACAAUGGCGCAGAAUGAAAUAGUAGACAGAAACACUACAUGCAUGUCUAGUCACAAGAUGAUGACAGACCCUAACAUACAACAAUGCAGCAAGUCUGCCUUCAACAUUGUGUAUUUUGGACAUCUGGAAGAUAACAUCAUUUCCAUCAAUGGAUCCAGAGCCAAGUAAAGAGGCAAAUUGGAAAUGGAAUCCCCAGUUUAUUAUUAAUGGAUGAAGUAGCCAAAUAAUUAUUUUUAUCAGGUCUUAAUAAGACCCUUACACUCUGAUCCUAGAUCCCUAAGAAUCAUGGUCCUACAUAGAUGUUUCCAGGAAAUGCGAUCAAAUGCCUCCAACUCCAACAUGCUACAGUAUUAGGAAACAAGCAUGGGCUCAGGUGAAGAGAUGGGAAAAGUCUCUUUGAAGAGUCAUUGUUAUGUCUCCUGCUUUCCAGAAGUCCUGACAACCUCAGCCUCAGUGCAAGAAAAAUGGUCUUCAUAGGUGGCCAUGUGAGAGUCUACGUCUAAUGGCUUGAGGAUGCUGAAUUCUUCCAGCAAGGAGCGGCUUGUUCCUGCAAUGAACUUCCUAUAACUAUUUCAGAAAAGCCAUAAGUAUUCAAUUAAGAAAUCAAAGCCCAGACGUGCUCAGUGAUAUACUGCAGGAUCUGCACUCCCCAUUGGAGCUUCAUGUCUCAUCAACUACAUCUACGAUCUGUUCAUUCUUGUGCGUGCCUCUUGUUCCCAUUUUCAAGAAACCAUUCAUGUCCUGUGUUUAGGCAGCUCUUUAACAUCGCUAUGAGUAUGUGCCAUCCCCUGCCUCAUCAAUCACUGGACUUUCCAUUGCCUUAUUCUUCCUUAGUUAGAUGGGGGAUGCAGAGUCUUCUCCUAUUAAAGGCAGGAAUUUUACAGUAUAUUCAGGAGUCAUGCAUCUUUAAGCAUAUUGAAUAUUACAAUUUGUUCAGGAAGCUGUAAUAUAUUCAGAACGGCUACGAAACGGCAAGAACAAGGCAUUCAAAUUCAAAAGUAAUAAAAAAAGAA